rnacentral:rRNA from 1 species
UACAGCCACAUCAACACUGAAACACUGGUUCCUGUACAAUCACUGAUGUUAAGCAACACUAAGCCUGGUCAGUACCUAGAUGGGUGACCACUUAGGAAUACCAGGUGCUGUAAG